rnacentral:rRNA from 1 species
UGGGGAAUAUUGCACAAUGGGCGCAAGCCUGAUGCAGCCAUGCCGCGUGUAUGAAGAAGGCCUUCGGGUUGUAAAGUACUUUCAGCGAGGAGGAAGGCGUUGUGGUUAAUAACCGCAGCGAUUGACGUUACUCGCAGAAGAAGCACCGGCUAACUCCGUGCCAGCAGCCGCGGUAAUACGGAGGGUGCAAGCGUUAAUCGGAAUUACUGGGCGUAAAGCGCACGCAGGCGGUCUGGCAAGUCGGAUGUGAAAUCCCCGGGCUCAACCUGGGAACUGCAUCCGAAACUGGCAGGCUAGAGUCUUGUAGAGGGGGGUAGAAUUCCAGGUGUAGCGGUGAAAUGCGUAGAGAUCUGGAGGAAUACCGGUGGCGAAGGCGGCCCCCUGGACAAAGACUGACGCUCAGGUGCGAAAGCGUGGGGAGCAAACA